rnacentral:rRNA from 1 species
GAUGAACGCUAGCGGCAGGCUUACACAUGCAAGUCGAGGGGUAACGAUGGUGCUUGCACCAGGCGACGACCGGCGGACGGGUGAGUAACGCGUAUGCAACCUACCUAUUGCAGGAAGAUAGCCCGAGGAAACUCGGAUUAAUAUUCCAUAAUAUCAUUUUUACACAUGUAUUAAUGAUUAAAGCUACGGCGGCAAUAGAUGGGCAUGCGUACCAUUAGCUAGUUGGUGAGGUAACGGCUCACCAAGGUUACGAUGGUUAGGGGGUCUUAAAGGAUGAUCCCCCACACUGGUACUGAGACACGGACCAGACUCCUACGGGAGGCAGCAGUGAGGAAUAUUGGGCAAUGGACGCAAGUCUGACCCAGCCAUGCCGCGUGCAGGAUGACUGCUCUAGUAGUUGUAAACUGCUUUUCUAUUUCAUGAACCCCUCUGACGUGUCAGGGGCUGACAGUAGAAUAGGAAUAAGCAUCGGCUAACUCCGUGCCAGCAGCCGCGGUAAUACGGAGGAUGCAAGCGUUAUCCGGAUUUACUAGGUUUAAAGGGUGCGUAGGCGGGGUAUCAAGUCAGUGGUGAAAUCCUGCAGCUCAACUGUAGAACUGCCAUUGAAACUGAUAUUCUUGAGUAUAGUUGAGGUAGGCGGAAUGUGUUAAGUAGCGGUGAAAUGCAUAGAGAUAACACAGAACACCGAUUGCGAAGGCAGCUACUAAACUAUUACUGACGCUGAGGUACGAAAGCGUGGGGAGCGAACAGGAUUAGAUACCCUGGUAGUCCACGCCGUAA